rnacentral:rRNA from 1 species
UACGUAGGGGGCAAGCGUUGUCCGGAUUUAUUGGGCGUAAAGCGCGUGUAGGCGGCCUGACAGGUCUGCUGUGAAAACUCGAGGCUCAACCUCGAGAUGUCGGCGGAAACCGUCUGGCUAGAGUCCGGAAGAGGAGAGUGGAAUUCCUGGUGUAGCGGUGAAAUGCGCAGAUAUCUGGAGGAACACCAGUGGCGAAGGCGGCUUCCUGGCCUGUAACUGACGCUGAGACGCGAAAGCGUGGGGAGCGAACCGG